rnacentral:rRNA from 1 species
GGUUACCUUAUUACGACUUCACCCCAGUCAUGAAACACAAAGUGGUAAUCGUCCUCCCGAACGUUAGACUAACUACUUCUUUUGCAUCCCACUCCCAUGGUGUGACGGGCGGUGUGUACAAGGCCCGGGAACGUAUUCACCGCAGUAUUCUGACCUGCGAUUACUAGCGAUUCCGACUUCAUGGAAGUCGAGUUGCAGACUCCAAUCCGGACUACGACAUCCUUUAAGGGGUCCGCUCCACAUCACUGUCUCGCUUCCCUCUGUAAAUGCCAUUGUAGCACGUGUGUAGCCCUACACGUAAGGGCCAUGAUGACUUGACGUCGUCCCCACCUU